GGGUGCAGUCAUACCAGUGUUAAUGCACUGGAGUCUGUCGGAACUCUGCAUUUAAGAGCACUUGGGAUGGUGUAGUACUAUAGAUUCCCUGAGAUCAGCAUAAAAAACCUGAUGGUGGGUGAGGUGCCGAGUGUGAAAACCCAGUGGGUUUGCAUGAU
rfam:Picea glauca, whole genome shotgun sequence.